rnacentral:rRNA from 1 species
UACGAAGGAGGCUAGCGUUGUUCGGAAUUACUGGGCGUAAAGGGCGCGGAGGCGGUCUUGUAAGUCAGAUGUGAAAGCCCCGGGCUCAACCCGGGAAUAGCAUUUGAUACUGCGAGGCUUGAGUCCGGGAGAGGAUGGCGGAAUUCCCAGUGUAGAGGUGAAAUUCGUAGAUAUUGGGAAGAACACCGGUGGCGAAGGCGGCCAUCGGGACCGGUACUGACGCUGAGGCGCGAAAGCGUGGGGAGCAAACAGG